UACAGAGGGUGCAAGCGUUAAUCGGAAUUACUGGGCGUAAAGCGUGCGUAGACGGUUACAUAAGUCGGGUGUGAAAGCCCCGGGCUUAACCUGGGAAUGGCAUUUGGGACUGCACGGCUAGAGUGUGUCAGAGGGGGGUAGAAUUCCACGUGUAGCAGUGAAAUGCGUAGAUAUGUGGAGGAAUACCGAUGGCGAAGGCAGCCCCCUGGGAUAACACUGACGCUCAUGCACGAAAGCGUGGGGAGCAAACAGG
rnacentral:rRNA from 1 species